CCUACGGGAGGCUGCAGUGGGGAAUAUUGGACAAUGGGCGAAAGCCUGAUCCAGCCAUGCCGCGUGUGUGAAGAAGGCCUUCGGGUUGUAAAGCACUUUCAGUGGGGAAGAAAGCCUUGGGGCUAAUACCCUCGAGGAAGGACAUCACCCACAGAAGAAGCACCGGCUAACUCCGUGCCAGCAGCCGCGGUAAUACGGAGGGUGCGAGCGUUAAUCGGAAUUACGGGGCGUAAAGCGCGCGUAGGCGGUCUGAUAAGCCGGUUGUGAAAGCCCCGGGCUCAACCUGGGAACGGCAUCCGGAACUGUCAGGCUAGAGUGCAGGAGAGGAAGGUAGAAUUCCCGGUGUAGCGGUGAAAUGCGUAGAGAUCGGGAGGAAUACCAGUGGCGAAGGCGGCCUUCUGGACUGACACUGACGCUGAGGUGCGAAAGCGUGGGUAGCAAACAGGAUUAGAUACCCCGGUAGUC
rnacentral:rRNA from 1 species